CCUACGGGAGGCUGCAGUAGGGAAUCUUUCACAAUGGGCGAAAGCCUGAUGGAGCAACGCCGCGUGCAGGAUGAAGGCCUUCGGGUUGUAAACUGCUUUUAUAAGCGAGAAAUAUGUUUGUAACUUAUGAAUAAGGAUCGGCUAACUACUUGCCAGCAGCCGAGGUCAUACGUAUGAUCCGAACAUUAUCCGGAGUGACUGGGUGUAGAGAGUUGCGUAGGUGGCAUAAUAACUAGCUAGUGAAAUCUUGUGGAGCAACCAUUCAGACUAUUAGCUAAACUGUUAAGCUCGAGAUCGUUAGAGGUAACUGGAAUUUCUAGUGUAGGAGUGAAAUGCGUAGAUAUUAGAAGGAACACCAAUAGCGUAGGCAGGUUGCUGGGACGGUUCUGACACUAAGGCACGAAAGCGUAGGGAGCAAACGGGAUUAGAUACCCGUGUAGUC
rnacentral:rRNA from 1 species